rnacentral:rRNA from 1 species
ACGAACGCUGGCGGCAUGCCUAACACAUGCAAGGCGAACGAGACCUUCGGGGCUAGUGGCGCACGGGUGCGUAACGCGUGGGAACCUGCCCUUAGGUUCGGAAUAACUCCCCGAAAGGGGUGCUAAUACCGGAUAAUGUCUUCGGACCAAAGAUUUAUCGCCUUUGGAUGGGCCCGCGUUGGAUUAGCUAGUUGGUAGGGUAAAAGCCUACCAAGGCGCCGAUCCAUAGCGGGGCUGAGAGAAUGAUCAGCCACACUGGGACUGAGACACGGCCCAGACUCCUCCGCGAGGCAGCAGUGGGGAAUAUUGGACAAUGGGCGAAAUCCUGAUCCAGCAAUGCCGCUUGAGUGAUGAAGUCCUUAGGGUUGUAAAGCUCUUUUACCCGUGAUGAUAAUGACAGUACCGGGAGAAUAAGCCCCGGCUAACUCCGUG